AAUAUAUAAAGUUUAAAAAAAUCUUAAUUCUUUCCGUCAUAUUUUGUGACUCAAAAUUUUAAAAAUGAACAUAUAUUAACCAAUUGGCGAAAAAGUGUGAGUUCUACGUCCCACAUCGACUAAAAUAUUUAGACAAUGAUUCAUAAACAUAUCAUAAAUAAGAUUAACAUUAAUAAAAUAAUGGUUUUUUUACAGGACGGGUUUGGCGGGACGGGUUUAGCAGAACGUUACUUAAUAACAAAUGUAAACUAUAAAAUAAAAAUAUU
rnacentral:sRNA from 1 species